CCCUGUGGCCUUGUACUUGUGUUCUCUCUGCACUCGCUUUUCCCUAGAUACUUCCAUGAUCCUCAACAUUGUCCACAUACUGUGCAUCUCAAGUCCAAUCCAAGACCUGGCACCAUUGAUCCUGAGACCAGCCCAUGUCAGAGGAGGAGUUGACACUACCAAGAUCACAGAAAGAUAUGGACGGCCAAACUAGAUAUUAGAAGAUGAUGAAGCAAUUUCUAUGGAAUUUUGAAAGAAAAAGUUGUGUUCAAGAUAUUUAUACCCAGUCAAAUCGACAGAAAGAUCUCCUCAGCUAUGUACAGGUCGCAUUUUGCCUCAGUGGAAAGGAAUGGAUCGGUUAAUAUAAAUGAUGUUAGGAUGAUUGAAUAUUCAUGAAAUACAUAAAUUUAGAUCACUAUCUCAUAAAAAUUACUCAAUUCUGCGUAGACUGAAGACAGGAAAAAACAAAAGAAAGCAUAUUAGGAUUAGAAAAAUAAUAAAUAUUUACUUGACUGUAGAAUAGGAAAAACCUUUUAAGCAUUUAAACAAGAGAAAAUAGCACAGAGGAAAAUAUUGAUAGAUAUAACUAAAUAAAAAAACACUACAAUGCUCUCCAAACUCCAUAAACAAGUUAAAAUGCUAAAUAUAACCCAAAGAAAUAUUUCUUGUAUAAAUGGCAAAUGGUUAAAGCAAGAAAAAUAAAGCUACAAUAAGAAAGCAGGCAAAUAACAUUAAAUAUAUAAUUUUAAAAUAUGAAGUUGAUAGGUCCA
rnacentral:lncRNA from 1 species